GCAUGAUGAAUGAUCUCUCAAGAUGGAAGUAUUUACAUACAGCAAUUCAGAAAGAAUACAUCAUACAAUGAUUCUCAAGAACUGUUGAGCCACAGAGGCCUUGGGGCACAUACACAAUGGGAGAGUUGCAGAUUGUAUCAGCCCAUUGCUAGGCGACAACUCUGUGAAUGUUUGGAUAGCACAACAGGAAGUGCGAGUGACAUCACAUAUCCCCACUCAUCCCCUCACUACACAACACUCAGUAAACACCCCUCCCUGCUAGACUGCGACGUCACACAACAGUGGAGUCCAAGCACCGACCGUUGCUAGGCAAUCAGUCGGUAAACACAUCCAACAAUAUAGGCUGUUUUCUGUGUGGUCUGCGAGAGGCCUAAAUAAGGGGGUUCAAUGCACCAGACAGUUCAGUUGAAGUCUAGCAGUCGCCAAGUUAAGAUGUAUCAAGUGAAUGGAAUCAAGACAGAUUUAAGAGUUCAGUUGAAUUCUAGCACUCGUCGAGUACAGUUGAAAUACAGCAGCCGCCAGUGACAGUGAAGUUCCAGCAUCCGUCGAAGACAGCUGAAGUUGAGAGUUGAGGCAGUAAUUGUGACACUGUGAAUUGUGUAAGUGCAAGAGCAAGUGUGCAAUAAAUUCACUAGAUCCAAGACCGGCAUGAAGUUAUUUGUCGUGUCACACAGCCGACAUAUGACAAUAUGAAAGAAAUCACAAACCUCAAUCUGCCACACAGAGUGUGAGCAGUGCCUUUUCUGUUUAUUUGCAAUCCCAUGAAAACAUAAAAUGUACCAUUAAACUCAUGGUGGCACUUUAUUAUGUACUGAAGUACAUAAUAAGUACAAGAUGUGGUCAACGUUUCCUUCAUUCCUCUGCAUUAAGCACAGCAAAGAAGAAAAUUAACUGGGUCUUCAGAAAAAUAAAAUUUGAAUUUAACUGUUACCAUAAUUUAGGGUUAAACUGUUACAGAACCAUAUCACAUUCCUCAAUUUAAAUUCUUCCUAUUGAAGGUCUUCCUCAAGCAUUUAAAUUUGUCCUCAGAGAAACAAUUACAUAAGGAUUUCAGUGCAAAUAAAGACUUCAUCAUGAAAUCACAUCUAUCUAAACCACUGUAAAAAUUCAAUUUUGUUUUACUCCAAGUUACUCAUAUUCUGUGUGAUUACUUCAUACAAAAACAAAUGUUCUGUAAUAAACGUGUUCCCAAAUAAUAUGAUAUACAAAAAUUCUCUACAUUUCAGUCAUGCAUCUGCUGUUUAUAGCCAAGACUUAUGUGGUGUAUUGAAGUUACAUGACAAAAUACAUAUAAAUGUUUCUUAUUCAGAGCUGUUUGAUGCGUUAUCUACAGUUAAAAUUCAUAUACAAUUUUGUCAUAAAUGGAAUGAUAUAUUUUGACCUGGUAUAAUAAACAAGAAUACUAUACACACCUGUGUACACAAAUGUCUGCACACAUCCAAUAACAUCAAAUUGAACAAAGACAAGAAACAUACUGUUAUUUGCGAGAAAUGAAGCUAGUCUUUUCUUCCCUAUAAUUCAUCUUGUGAGAUUAAAAUUUAAAGCACACCAUAUGGCAAACCACAUACCAAGCAUAUAUACAAAAUGUGGUAUCAGGAAAUUGUCAUGUAUCGUAACAUCACUUAUUACACAAUAACAAAACUGUUAUAAUACAACAAAUAUUACUUGUAAAAUAUCGAAGUUGUACUUAAUUAGCAUACUUAAAUUAUCAGCAUAUACAGUAACAAAGAUAUACGUUUCUCUGAAAUUCUAAUGUCAGUUAAUAUCAAUUCAUAUUUCGAGACUGGACAAUUACGUAGUUCCUGUACAAUACAUACUUCCUGUCAGUUAUCAUCACCAGAACUGUUUUCUGUAAAUGCAGAAGUAUCAAAUACUGUUUCAGUUCUAUACAUUUCAAAUAUUAAGUUAUUCUUCUUCAAGAGAUGCCUAUUAAUCUUUUGCAUAUUCAGGUACUAUACAAUGAUACACCUACAUUUUCCCAACACAGUACACAUCCAAGAUUUACUUAACUAUUUCAGUAGUUUUAAGUAACUGCAUAUAGUUCUAAGCAAAUAUAGGAUGAUAUGUAACUGAACAAAGCAUUUCCAAUGAAAAUAAAUAUUUUAGUUCCAAAAAAGAAAGAAAGAAAG